AGAAUUAUUCAAUGAAGGAGUAGUAGUAGAAAAACGUGCAUGAGUGGUGCAUCCCACUAUCAUAAAGGCAUCCUCCAAGGACUGAGAAUCGAGACCCCCUCUGGAACAAUAGCAGGGGCGUUAGGCAUUGUUGCUGUUUGCAAAUAGGUCUAUAGUCAGGUUCCCCCACUAUCUGAACACAGGUACUUGCAUGCUGGGGUUGAGUUCCCAUUCAUGAUUUAAAGCAAAAUGUCUGCUGAGAUUAUCCACCACAGUAUUGUCUUUGUCUGGAAAGUAGAGGGCUGUGAAGUGAAUGUUGUGUGGAAUGCACCAAUUCCAUAACUGUACUGCUUCAAAACACAGUCGGUAAAGAACAAGCCCUACCCUGGCAGUUUAUAUAAUAUAUUGUGAGACUAAUCAUAAAUAUUUGUACUGUUUUGUUCUGAAUCAAGGGGAAAAAGCUUUACAAACUGCUCUGAGUUCCAGGAAUUUUAUAUGCGGUUUGGACAACUCCUGAGACCAGUGCUACUGGACAGUGUGGUGACUGAUUUGGGCUCCCUAUUCAAUUAGAGUAGCAUUCAUGAUGGAUGUAUGGGAUGGGAGGGCACUCGGUUGCAGGAGUUGCCCUGGACUAUCCAGGAGAAGGACUCCUUUCUUUAUCUUGGUGGCCAUAAUAAGGCAGCUGUUGAUAUGGUUAUAGUGAGGUCUGUAAACUGUUUGUAGCCAUGUGCGUAGUGGUCCCAUGUGUAGGGCGAGCAUGUUGCACUACAAAAGAGCCUGCUGCCAUACCAUCUUGCAGUUGAAGACUGCUAUAACCGGGGGGUUAUUCUGUGCUGAUGAGAUAGGUUUCUAGCACUCGUGGACCUUAUGAUACACACAAAAGUGCUGCUGUAGCUGAGGAGCAAUCUAGGUAGGGCCCCAGUGAAUUCAAACUGCUGUGUGGGGAUUAAUGUGCACUUCUGAAAGUUCAGUGGUAGACCCAAUUUGCUGAAUAGAGCCCUGGUGAUGGUGACUGCUCAUUCUGUCUUGUGAUACGAUGACCCUUUUAGGAGACAAUCAUCCAGAUGCGGGAAAAUGACAGUUCCCAACCUGAGGAAAUGUGCUGCAACCACUGCUACAACUUUGGAAAAGACUCAAGGGGCUGUGGAAAGCUCAAAAGGAAGUACUCUGUAUUGGAAGUGCCACUUGUGAACAGCAAAUAGGAGGUAUCAUCUCUGCAGGGAGUAUUACGAUGUGGAAAGAUGUAUCCUAUAGGUUGAGGGUAGACAGCCAGUCUCCCUUCUCCAAGGCAGAGAGUGCUAUGGUGAGAGUUACCAUCUUACAUCUGUGAUGUGCGUAUGAAAUGGUUGAGGUUGCAUAAAUCAAGAAUAGUCUUGAUCAAGAAUGGUCCCCAACCUCUUGAUUUCUUGGUUGUAAGAAAAUAGUGGGAAUAAAAUGCCUCCCCCGGUGCUGUUGAGGUACAUGUUCUAUUGCUCCUAGUUGCAUGAGGUGAUUCAGUUCCUGAAUAAGAGCGAUCUCAUGAGAGGGGUUCCUGAAGAGGGAUGUGCGGGGUAGGAGGGAAGGGGAGGAGAAAGGGAUGCAAUAAACAAUCUGCACCAUCUCUCAUACCCAUCUGUCUGUGGUAAUGAUAUUCUACACAGGAUAAAAGGAUGCUGGUCAGUUCCCAAAUGGUGUGGGAGUGAUCGGAUGCUGUCUUGGAGAUGCUGGGGAUGUCUGACACUCGUCAAACCCUUCAAAAGCUUUCCCUCUGCAGCUGAGUGAAGGGAGUUGGUCUGUUUCUCUAAUUAAAUAUUUCUCCCGUUUUCUUUGUUACAGGGACAUGUUCGCUGAGAGUCUUGAGUGUAGACCAUGAAUCCUUGGAGUCUAUGUAAGGAGGGAUCAGUGGACUCAGAGAAGAGCUUGGAUCCUUCAAAUGGCUGCUGGCAGUCAUCCGCCACCUUGUCACCCUGCUCCAGGCUAGACAGCUCCCCUGCAGAAAUAGACAGGAGGCGAAAAUACCAGACUGUCCGGGUCAAUACCAGACACUUGGCAACCUUAUCGGCUUCAGACUCAAAUGGUGGAUUCAGGACCCUGAGGUUCAGUCCCAUGUGGUGGGGCUUCAGUUUUCUAUCAUGAGCCCCAGUGAAUCUACUGCUGGCCCUAUUUGUCAGCCCCUCUGAAAACUGCUCAUAACUCCUCAGUGGCCCCAGAUUCCUGCUUGAGAACCACUAAUCUACAUCAAACUACAAGUCCCUUGGGCUCAAAAUCUGUUGUUGUGGGAGCACACACUCAAUAGAAAACUUAAGCCUGUGUUAAAUCUGCAGGCAACACCACCGUCUAAUAUGUUGUGUGUGCUAUUAUAAAUGUUGAAGGACACGUUGUGUCAUUCACAUGCAUCUGACUAUUUUACCGCAGUACCUAGAUAUGCUCUAAGUAUGAGAAAGAAUAUUAGUGCCAUGAACUAGCUCUGUGAUUUGAGACUAUUAUUUUAUAAGUAAUAUUUUACGUUCACCUUGAUAAUCCCCCUCAUUAAAAAAAUAAAAUGCAAAGUAAAUAUCUGGAAGCCAGAAAGCCUAUUUCUAGUUUAAUUUUCAACACCAUAAAUAUUUAA